UAGAGACGUGGUUGAGGUUGCUGUAAACGGUGCUGCGACAGAAGGGAAGGAACAGCGGAAGGAUGAUGAGAGGAGGAAGGGAUGGAGAAGCCCGACCUUACCGAAAGCGUAUCGGGCACAGAAACGCCAGGUAAGAAGGACGGACGACGCUGGCCAAGACCAUACAUAGGAGCAUGACUCAACAAAGCAGCAACCGAAGAAGCAGAGUUUGCACUAUUGCUGGACGAAACAGGAGCAAACAUACUCAAGCCGGGGGCAGCCAAAGGAGGCUGAACUUGAGAACGUGAAGUGUGCUGAUAAGGAAACGACAUUGCUGAAGAAUUUCGAAA